GAAGUUUGUGUGGAAGGUUGUUUUUUUAUGAGAGUAUCCAGUUUUGAGAGCUCAUUCUUAAUCUUUCCCUAUUUGCUGUAGAAGAUGUUGAUCAGGUGGUUCCGCAGGUUCUUUGAGAGCGUGUGGCAUAAGCUUUC